rnacentral:lncRNA from 1 species
GUGUUUAUAAGGAAAUGUUGAAACACCAGUGUCAACUGGUAGUCUUCAAAAAACAUUUAAACUGUAUUAGGGAAAUAAUACUUGAAACAUAAGUUUUUUUCCUUUUAUUUUUUGAUAGAGUUGAGAGACAUGUUUUUUUCCUUUUAUUUUUUGAUAGAGUUGAGAGACAGUUUAUGGUCUUAUAUUUCCAUAUAAACUGUGUUAGACUGUGUUAUAUUUCCAUAUAAACUGUGUUAAAACACCAGUUACUGAUGGUCUUCAAAAAAAAUUUAAACUGUAUUAGGGAAAUAAUACUUGAAACAUUAGUUUUUUUGCUUUUAUUUUUCGAUGGAGUUGAGAGACAGUUCUAAAUUGACAGCUAUGAAAAUUUGAAUG